UACGUAGGGGGCAAGCGUUGUCCGGAUUUAUUGGGCGUAAAGAGCUCGUAGGCGGUCUGUCGCGUCGGCUGUGAAAACCCGGAGCUCAACUCCGGGCCUGCAGUCGAUACGGGCAGACUGGAGUUCGGCAGGGGAGACUGGAAUUCCUGGUGUAGCGGUGAAAUGCGCAGAUAUCAGGAGGAACACCGGUGGCGAAGGCGGUUCUCUGGGCCUGUACUGACGCUGAGGAGCGAAAGCGUGGGGAGCGAACAGG
rnacentral:rRNA from 1 species